rnacentral:rRNA from 1 species
UACGAAGGGGGCUAGCGUUGCUCGGAAUCACUGGGCGUAAAGGGCGCGUAGGCGGCCAUUCAAGUCAGGGGUGAAAGCCUGUGGCUCAACCACAGAAUUGCCUUUGAUACUGUUUGGCUAGAGACCGGAAGAGGUAAGCGGAACUGCGAGUGUAGAGGUGAAAUUCGUAGAUAUUCGCAAGAACACCAGUGGCGAAGGCGGCUUACUGGUCCGGUUCUGACGCUGAGGCGCGAAAGCGUGGGGAGCAAACAGG